rnacentral:rRNA from 1 species
CUGCUGCCUUCCGUAGGAGUUUGGGCCGUGUCUCAGUCCCAAUGUGGCCGGUCACCCUCUCAGGCCGGCUGCUGAUCGUCGCUUUGGUGGGCCGUUACCCCGCCAACUGGCUAAUCAGACGCGGGCCCAUCCUGUACCACCGGAGUUUUCAAAGGAUUACCAUGCGGUAUUCCCUAUUAUGCGGUAUUAGCACCUAUUUCUAAGUGUUAUCCCCCGGUACAGGGCAGGUUGCCCACGCGUUACUCACCCGUCCGCCACUAAGACAGAUU